GAUGAACGCUAGCGGGAGGCUUAACACAUGCAAGUCGAGGGGCAUCACGAGGUAGCAAUACUUUGGUGGCGACCGGCGCACGGGUGAGUAACACGUAUGCAACCUUCCCUGUACAGGGGGAUAACCCGGAGAAAUUCGGACUAAUACCCCAUGAUGAUAUUAUGGGGGCAUCCUUUAAUAUUUAAAGCUCUGGCGGUACAGGAUGGGCAUGCGCGACAUUAGCUAGUUGGUAAGGUAACGGCUUACCAAGGCGACGAUGUUUAGGGGACCUGAGAGGGUUGUCCCCCACACUGGUACUGAGACACGGACCAGACUCCUACGGGAGGCAGCAGUGAGGAAUAUUGGUCAAUGGGCGCAAGCCUGAACCAGCCAUCCCGCGUGAAGGAAGAAUGCGCUACGCGUUGUAAACUUCUUUUCCAGGGGGAGAAUAAUCCUGUCGUGACAGGACUUGACGGUACUCUGGGAAUAAGCAUCGGCUAACUCCGUG
rnacentral:rRNA from 1 species